AUUGAACGCUGGCGGCAUGCCUAACACAUGCAAGUCGAGCGCGCGGCGGACGGGUGAGUAAUGUAUGGGGACUGCCCGAUAGAGGGGGGUAACUACUGGAAACGGUAGCUAAUACCGCAUACUAUCGUAUGACCCAUAUGGGAUUAGCUAGUGGGUGAGGUAAUGGCUCACCUAGGCGACGAUCACUAGCUGGUCUGAGAGGAUGAUCAGCCACACGGGGACUGAGACACGGCCCAGACUCCUACGGAGGCAGCAGUGGGGAAUAUUGCACAAUGGGCGCAAGCCUGAUGCAGCCAUGCCGCGUGUAUGAAGAAGGCCCUAGGGUUGUAAAGUACUUUCAGUCGGGAGGCGUUACCGACAGAAGAAGCACCGGCUAACUCCGUGCCAGCAGCCGCGGUAAUAC
rnacentral:rRNA from 1 species